UAAAAUCCAACAUCAUUUCCCUUUAAUUAAAACAAGGCUAAACUUAAGCCCAUUUAUGCAAAUAGCCCAACACCCAUUCUUCUCCAUUAAAUUUCGCUAUCUCUCUCUAAUUCACUACACACACACGCACACCCUCACAAACAUACAACUCACGCCUCUUCCCUCUCAGCCGCUCUCUCUCUCUUCUCUCCACCCCUCUCUCUCCCUCUCGGCCUCCUACCACCGCGCCACCAGACGGCCGCCACCGCGACGGACAGCAGCACAGCCCAACGCUUCUCCCUCCGCCCUGACCGGAAAUACUCAGCAGCGGCAGAGACCACGGUGCCGCUGCCCCUGUUUCCUCUCGCCGUACGCCGCCCUCUCUCCCUUUCCAGAUCCGGCCAGACAACCAUCUGACGCCGCCCCCUGCUCCGGCGGGUAGCUCCUCAUCCCACUUCAUCCCAACUCCCUUUAUCAAUAUAGGUUUCUAAAUCUAAAUUUGUUUUCUGUAAAAUCAAUGAAUAUGUAUUCCUUUUCGAUUUCUUAUGAAUUACAAACACUAGAUCUAAUGAUGUGUGUAUGCAUGUUUGGAUUUAUAAAAAUAAGAAUUUUGUGGGAGUUUGGUUGUUUUCUGUAAAUUGAAAGAAAGCAGAGAUCUUUGCAUAUGAAAAUAAAACUAUACAAGUUUAUGAGAAUUACCGAUUGAUGAUGUGCAGUGAGAAAUGGCAGAUUGAAUUAUUUUGUGAAAAGAGCAAAUGGAGAAAUCUGUUGAUGGUUUAUGAUUUGAAACUGAUGGAAUGAGAAUGAUACAAUGAGGUUUAAAUAGAUUGAAUUACUUGUUUGAACAUAAACGUGUGAAAGAGAUCAAUCAAAGUUUGCUGCUUCAAAAUUUGCUGCUGUGGAAAUCAAAUUUUACGGAAAGGCUUUUGAAUCUUCUGUUUGCUUUUGAAUUGAAGAUGUUGGGGAUUUUAGAAUUUGAGAGUAAAAUGAAUUGUGAGAGUUUAAAAUUAUUAAAAAUUGUAUUUUGUGCAAAUAUAGAAGUGAACUGUAGGAAAAUGAAAAUUUGCAGAAAUAAUAAAAUUACCUUUACAGAGAAAAGAGCACAAAUGAUCUUAAAGAUUGCUGCGUUUUUGGCAUGAUAACUGAGAUGAUAAAGGAUGAUGUUUUAAAUAAGAAAAUUUGAGAUGAUACUUGUGGCUCAAGAAUGUUUUGAGACGAAACGUGGCCGAGUGAAAUGAAAUGGCUGUAGCAAAGUGAUACACCUAUACCUUCUUUUAAAUUAAAAUAAUAAUUUAUAUAAUAUAUAAGAAUGUAUGGGCUUCCAUGAAAAAUAUGAAGCUUUAGCCCAUUAAUAACAACAAGCCCAACAUUAAUAAAAAUUAAGAAAAUAUUUUAUUCUUUAUCCAAAAAUCAAUAUAAUGUCAUAAUAAAUAUAUUUAAAUAAAUAAUUUUAUUUAGGCACAAAUUUAUAUAAAAAUAUGAGUAUAGAUCUUUAUUUCCAUAGGUAUAAUUUAUAGUUCAAAGUCACAUCUAACUAGGGCGGUUAGAUAUCUGAUAAGAAUGAAAAUAGGAAUGGCUGG
rnacentral:lncRNA from 1 species